rnacentral:rRNA from 1 species
UACGUAGGGGGCAAGCGUUGUCCGGAUUUAUUGGGCGUAAAGAGCGUGUAGGCGGCCUGGUAGGUCUGCUGUGAAAACUCGAGGCUCAACCUCGAGAUGUCGGCGGAAACCACUUGGCUAGAGUCCGGAAGAGGAGAGUGGAAUUCCCGGUGUAGCGGUGAAAUGCGCAGAUAUCGGGAAGAACACCUAUGGCGAAGGCAGCUCUCUGGGACGGUACUGACGCUGAGACGCGAAAGCGUGGGGAGCGAACAGG